CCCCUGUGGUAGCUGCACUCCACAGAUGCAAGGCAUCUGCAAGCUACACACAGGGUCUGCCAGCCAUCCAUCCCAUCCAUCCCCUCACUCGCAUUCCUGUCCACGCCCUGCAAGCCUCGAUUAUUGGUGGAAUUAGAACCGGGCUUCUUGUUGGCAGUUGCUAAUUAAGAUCAUUUAUAAACGCGACUAUUAAUACCGUAGCAGGCUGCAGCCCCCAACAUCUCUCACCCGCACCAUUGGCGAGGUGCGGGCUCUGGGAUUGCUCCUGCUUGACUCCAUCUUGGGAAGGACUGCUCCCUUUCACCAGCUACCCCACCGGGCUUCAGGCCUUCAAAGCAAGGAGCAGGCUGCGUCACAUGGAACCCUUGGCCCAUUUGGACUCCACUGGACCCCAUCAGCCAUGACUUGGAGAAGGAGAGCAUUCAUCACCGUCUCUAUGGAUUUUGCUUAUUUAUUUAUUUUUUGGAUUCAUGUUGUUCUUGCGCACUAGCCUCAUGAAGCCAGAGGUCCUGGGGUCUGUUGGUGCAGGCUGGUGCCCUGGCAUGCAGAGCAGCCCUUGGCACUUAGAGGCGCUCAGUCCAUAUUAGGAAAAGCCCAGAUGACCUGGGUUUGCAGCUGAAGGCUCUUGACCAAGCCACACUGAAGCAGAGAAACGGCAGACUAUUGGUGUGGGUUUCUGGCCGGUGGGGUCCUUCAGCACCUGGAGCCACAGCCGGAGGGUCCUUCCCAGUGCCCCCCAGCCCGGGCUAAGCCCCUAAGUGUCCCAUUAUGCACCAUUCACUUCUCACUUUGUCGAGCCCGUCCGCAGCCGCUGCGUCCUUUUGUCAGAGGGGCCUGGGAGUGCAAGGGGCUAUUACCACGAGGCCUCAUUAUUCCCAGCCAGAGCAAUAAUGAGGAGUCCCUUCCCCAGGCUAGCACAAUCUGUAGGGUCCCUCCCAUUUAAUAACUAUAAUAACAGCCACCAUUUAUGAGCCCCUGCUUCAUGCCCCGCUGCGCACCAAGCACUUUACAUACAUUAUCUCAUUUAAUUCCUCCAACAGCUCUGGCAAUCAGCUACUAUUUGUAUCCCCAUUUUUCAGAUAAGAACGCCAAGACCGGUGCCCAGAGCCCCGUUAUCCUUAGCUCAGCCAUACAGGGGGAGGAAGGGCAGGGAUACAUCCAUGUCCCAGGUGGAACAUGGAGGCGCAGAGAGGGAAGGUGGCCUGGGAGAGAGCACACGGCAGAGUAUUGGGGACCACAGCUAGGACCGGGCAGCAAGAGUCCCUCGGGCACAGAGGAGGGCGAGCAGCAGUCCCCAGAGCGCUCCAGGCCAGAGCAGCCAGGCCUUCACUGUGUUCACAGGGGCAGCUGCUGGCUCCGGGACUUGGCCUGUGCAGAGCUAGUGAGACUCCAGGGGCUCUGCCCAUGAGGCCCAUCCGGCAGUGAGGAGCACUUUCGCUCUCUGGGCCAACACUGAAAUGCUCUUAGAGGGCCAGGGGGUGUGUAGGGCAGAGUGACCAGGCUCUGGGAGGAGGCAGGAACCUGGUGGGAGGAAGGGGAGGAUGAGAAAAGGAACUGAAGCUCCACUCUUUCCUCUCCAGGGAGGAGUCUCAGGGGUUCUCUUAUGCUCUGGCCUUUGGGGUUAAACACUGUCCUUCCCAGGCUUCCCUGUUGGCUCAGACCGUAAAGAAUCUGCCUGCAAUGCAGGAUACCUGCGUUGUGAUCGACCCAUCGAUCCCUCGGUUGGGAAAAUCCCUUGGAGAAGGGAAUGGCAACCCACUCUAGUAUUCUUGCCUGGAGAAUUCCAUGAACAGAGGAGCCUGGUGGGCUACAGUCCAUGGGGUCACAAAGUACUGGACACAACUGAGCGACUAAAACAUGUACACAGGCACUGUCCUUCCCAAGCCUUUAAAAAAAGAGGGAAUAAUUAUUAUUUUAAAUUGGGUUUAUUUCUGAAUAAGCCAUUUCUUUAUUUUAAAGGCACAAAACUUUAGAGGCCGGAGAGGGCGAACUCUCGGGGGAUCCAGGGUUUGCAGGGGAGAGGAGGAUCUCUCAGAAGGACGGAGAUGGAGCAGCAGGAAUGGCUUUCCAAGUAGAGGGAACGUCAUACGUGAAAGCUUGGCUCUGUGACACCUGGUGUGUCCUAACAGGCUUUCCUCAGAAGAGGCAGGAGGGGGUCUGCACCACCUCAGGCAGGCUGGACUCCCAGAGUCAGGGGUCUUUGGGCUGCACUCUGCAUGCUCUUGCCCCUCAGCCUGAAGUCUCAGAGUCUAGAGAGAGGUUAUCCCUCUGUCCCUUCCCAGAAAGGAGCCCCCCCUGGCCAGUGGGACCCCUGACUUCUGCUUAGCUAGGGGGCUGAGCCCUGCUCCAGCCGAGCGGGGCUGACCGACCUCACCAGGGUGAGUCCAUUCACAGAGUGUUCUGUACAGUGCUUGACACAGCACGUCUGCCGUUCGUGUUCAUGUUGUUUAACUGUUCCAAGGACACCCUAACCAUCCCCUGUCUCAAUGUCCCCUCUCUGUAGUGGCCUAAGUAUCUUCUCCACUCACUCCUGGCUCCCAAAUUCUCCAGGCUACCAGGAACGCCACUGAGCCGCAGCCUUCCCCUUGGUUUCUCAGGGAGAGCAGUAGGGGGAGCCUCUCUAGGCACGCGACCCUGGGAGCUGAGGUGUUCAAAGUGGAGAGAAAGACUUCCCCUCCUGGACCCUCAGCUCCGCCUCUUCUCACUCACUCUCCUUGAAGAAAAAACACCCCCACUCAUUACCAAGCCUCGC
ensembl:lncRNA